UCGCUAGUAAUCGCGGAUCAGAAUGCCGCGGUGAAUACGUUCCCGGGUCUUGUACACACCGCCCGUCACACCAUGGGAGUCGGAAAUGCCCGAAGUCAGUGACCCAACCGUAAGGAGGGAGCUGCCGAAGGUGGAGCCGGUAACUGGGGUGAAGUCGUAACAAGGUACC
rnacentral:rRNA from 1 species